AUGAUGGAUGAGCAGCGGCAGGUUUAUCUUUUGGCAGAUGCACACACCCUCAACCUGGAAGCGGAAGGUGUGAUUUGGGUGAUGAGAUGCUGUUUAUGUAUGUAUUUAUGUUAUUAUGUGCCUCCAUUCAUUCUCACAUCUCUGCUCUGCUUGGACUCUGCAAAUGUAUGUAUAAUGUGCAUAAUGAUGUGUAAUCUACUACUCUCUCCGUCCCAUAAUGUAAGAUGUUUUUGUGACACUAGUCUAAUGUCACAAAAACAUCUUACAUUAUGGCACAGGGGAGUACUUAAAAUCAACACAUCACAUGAUAGUAACACAGUGGCAAACAUACACCCACGGGUCGGGUAG
rnacentral:rRNA from 1 species